rnacentral:rRNA from 1 species
GGGCAUCCCGGAGGCAGGAAAGGCUUCGGCCGGACAGGGAUGGGCAUGCGGCGCAUUAGGCAGUAGGCGGGGUAACGGCCCACCUAACCGACGAUGCGUAGGGGUUCUGAGAGGAAGGUCCCCCACACUGGUACUGAGACACGGACCAGACUCCUACGGGAGGCAGCAGUGAGGAAUAUUGGUCAAUGGUCGGGAGACUGAACCAGCCAAGCCGCGUGAGGGAGGAAGGUACAGAGUAUCGUAAACCUCUUUUGUCAGGGAACAAAGACUGGGACGCGUCCCCGGAUGAGUGUACCUGAAGAAAAAGCAUCGGCUAACUCCGUGCCAGCAGCCGCGGUAAUACGGAGGAUGCGAGCGUUAUCCGGAUUUAUUGGGUUUAAAGGGUGCGCAGGCGGUCUGUUAAGUCAGCGGUCAAAGCCCGGGGCUCAACCCCGGCCCGCCGUUGAAACUGGCAGUCUCGAGUUGGAGAGAAGUAUGCGGAAUGCGCGGUGUAGCGGUGAAAUGCAUAGAUAUCGCGCAGAACUCCGAUUGCGAAGGCAGCAUGCCGGCUCCACACUGACGCUGAGGCACGAAAGCGUGGGUAUCGAACAGGAUUAGAUACCCUGGUAGUCCACGCAGUAAACGAUGAAUGCUGGCUGUCCGGGGGGACUGACCCCUG